rnacentral:rRNA from 1 species
CUGCUGCCUCCCGUAGGAGUUUGGGCCGUGUCUCAGUACCAAUGUGGCCGUCCACCCUCUCAGGCCGGCUACUGAUCGUCGCUUUGGUAGGCCGUUACCCUGCCAACUGGCUAAUCAGACGCGGGUCCAUCAUAUACCACCGGAGUUUUUCACACUGAGUCAUGCGACUCCGUGCGCUUAUGCGGUUUUAGCAGCAAUUUCUCGCUGUUAUCCCCCUGUAUAUGGCAGGUUACCCACGCGUUACUCACCCGUCCG